rnacentral:rRNA from 1 species
GACGAACGCUGGCGGCGUGCUUAACACAUGCAAGUCGAACGGUAAGGCCCUUCGGGGUACACGAGUGGCGAACGGGUGAGUAACACGUGGGUGAUCUGCCCUGCACUUCGGGAUAAGCCUGGGAAACUGGGUCUAAUACCGGGUAGGACCACUGCCUGCAUGGGUGGUGGUGGAAAGCUUUUGCGGUGUGGGAUGGGCCCGCGGCCUAUCAGCUUGUUGGUGGGGUGAUGGCCUACCAAGGCGACGACGGGUAGCCGGCCUGAGAGGGUGACCGGCCACACUGGGACGGAGAUACGGCCCAGACUCCUACGGGAGGCAGCAGUGGGGAAUAUUGCACAAUGGGCGCAAGCCUGAUGCAGCGACGCCGCGUGAGGGAUGACGGCCUUCGGGUUGUAAACCUCUUUCAGCACCGACAAAGCGCAAGUGACGGUAGGUGCAGAAGAAGGACCGGCCAACUACGUGCCAGCAGCCGCCGUAA